CCUACGGGAGGAGCAGUGGGGAAUAUUGGACAAUGGGCGAAAGCCUGAUCCAGCCAUGCCGCGUGUGUGAAGAAGGCCUUCGGGUUGUAAAGCACUUUCAGUGGGGAAGAAAGCCUUGGGGCUAAUACCCUCGAGGAAGGACAUCACCCACAGAAGAAGCACCGGCUAACUCCGUGCCAGCAGCCGCGGUAAUACGGAGGGUGCGAGCGUUAAUCGGAAUUACUGGGCGUAAAGCGCGCGUAGGCGGUCUGAUAAGCCGGUUGUGAAAGCCCCGGGCUCAACCUGGGAACGGCAUCCGGAACUGUCAGGCUAGAGUGCAGGAGAGGAAGGUAGAAUUCCCGGUGUAGCGGUGAAAUGCGUAGAGAUCGGGAGGAAUACCAGUGGCGAAGGCGGCCUUCUGGACUGACACUGACGCUGAGGUGCGAAAGCGUGGGUAGCAAACAGGAUUAGAUACCCUUGUAGUC
rnacentral:rRNA from 1 species